CCCUCAUUAGCUCAACGGCAGAGCGGAAUACUUCUAAUAUUCAGAUUUUAGUUCGACUCUAAAAGGAGAUA
rfam:Rosellinia necatrix DNA, scaffold: Contig59, strain: W97.